AGGAGAAGAGAAGAGGGAGUCGUUGUUGGUGUUGGUAAAGAAAGAGGUUAAAGGACCAAGAAUAUCCAUCCAGGAAGACGUUACCCGCCACCAGUCUCUCCCUCUCUGUCCACGCGUCCUUUUCCCAACCUUCCCUGCUCUCACUCUCUGUGCGCCCUUAAUUUUGGCACGCACGCUGUGUCUUCUCACCUUCCAAUUUCUGUUUCCUCCCUCCCCUUUUCUUCUCCUCUUUGGUUUUCUUUUCCUCCUCCUCUCUCUCUCUCUCUGCGCAUUGCGUUGGUUCGUUGGUUGGUCGGUUGCUUGGAUGGUUGGGUCAAAUUAACCUCUGCUUUUCUCUGCAGCAUCAGAUUCGGUAAUUUCAAGCUUCUCUUUUUUAACCUCCAAAUCCGUUUCAAUCUUUUUGUUUAUCUUAUUUUCCUUUCCUUGUCUCUUUCGCUUAACCCACCCACAUAAUAACUCUAUUUCGAUUAGGGUUUCUCUAACACCAAUCUUUCCUUAUCCUGGAAACAGCGUUGCUUUGAAGUCAGCUUGUUUGGUGCUUUUACCAAAUUAUGUACUUUUUUCUUUUUCUUUGAGAAUCAACCUAUUAGAAAGUUGGGUUCUUUUUCUUCACUUCAAUACAGGAACCUCUUGUAGAAUUUCAGGUGCCUUUUGUUUUCUAUAUAAUUUUUUGCCUCCUGGAAUGGAAUGUUUUCCUUGUAUUCUUGACUUGCUUUUAUAUUUCAAUCUUUCCUAGUCGGCUCUCUUGAUUUAUCGUCUGCCAGCAAAUCUAGGUUUCUUGGUACCAUCAAGCUCGCGUUCUAUUUCUAUCUCUUAGCUGCAAACGAUGGCUUUGAAUCUCUCUCGUGGCUCAAUCUUGCCUACGUAUCCUUCUUCUGUUUGGUACUCUAAUGGGUAUGUGAUGGAUCAAUACAAAGAAAAUAAUUUGGAUGGUGUUUGUGAUGAUUCGUCAAGUUCUUGGGGUUUCAAUUUGGAUUUGAGGAAUACCCAUUGGGGAACUGAAUUGGGUGGCUAUUGUGACCAUUCUGCUGAUGAUAUUGUGGAUCGGUUGCCUGUUGAUCCUUUUGGAAUGGGGAUAAGGUCUACUUUUACUGCUAUCACGGGUUGGCUUCAAGGUUUUGAAAAGGAACACGAAUCUCAUGGCUCUGGGUUGCAUGAAGCAUUUGACGGUGGAUUAUUGGCAGGUUUCAAUUGGGCUUGGAAUAGUGCUGUGAUGUUUCAGCCAGAAGUUUGUGACCUGAGAUUUGAUGGAAUAUCAAUUCCAUAUGAUAGCUUUGAUGAGUAUGGGAUCAAUGAUGGAGGUUUCGUGUUGGAUGGCAAUGUGGAGGAGUUUCUGAGUUUUAGCGGGAACUUGGAUUUUUGUGAUGGAGCUAAGGAACUGCAAGUUGAAACUAAGGAAAUACAAGGUUGUAGCAUUACGCAUCCUAAUAGUGAGGGGAGUGCUCCACAUGAUGCUAUAUUUUAUGCAUUGAGUUUUCUUGGUGUUAAGGACCUUCUUUCAGUUGAAAAGGUUUGUAGGUCUUUUCGUGAUUCAGUUAGAAGUGACCCUCUUCUAUGGAGGAGUAUUGUCAUUGAUUGGCCGUUGAAUGAGAUCGUCACUGAUGAUGUUCUUAUAAAGUUAACUGACAGGGCUCAAGGCACUCUUGAAGCCUUGACUCUAGUGCAUUGUGUCCAUAUCACUGACUUUGGGCUGCAGCGUGUGUUUGACCGCAACCCAAAGCUGACAAAGUUAAGUGUUCCAGGAUGUCUUAAAAUAAGUGUUGAGGACAUCUUGUUAAACUUAUGGACCUUGAAGUCUGCAGGCAAACCUGGAAUAAAGCAGUUAAGAAUUGGUGGUCUCUCUGGUAUAACAGAGAUGCAGUUUGAAGAGUUGAAAUUCUUGCUUGGUGCAGAUAACUGUGUUCAGUUUAGAGCACCAAAACCACGGUUUUUUCAUGGUGGGCUGUCACAUCUCUCUUGUGAUGAUGAUUGUGCCAUCGACGUUGAAGCGUGCCCCAGGUGCCAGAAACUAAGUUUAGUUUAUGAUUGCCCAGCAAAGAGUUGCCAAGGGAAACAUCAUGCUGAUCAGAUGUGCAGGGCUUGCACGCUCUGCAUAGCUCGCUGUAUUAGUUGUGGGUGCUGCCUUCAAGACACUGAUUAUGAGGAGACAUUUUGUCUAGACUUGCUCUGUAUGGUUUGUUUGGAGAAAAUACUCAAAUGUAGGCAUGGAGAAAAGGGUGCUCCCAAGUGUGCCUUUUUUUGUCAGGAGAACAGGUAUCAAUUUUGCCUUAUUGGCUAAUGGAAAGACAUUGCAUAUUCGUUUGCUGUUGGUUGUGGAUUAGAAUCUACAAGGGUGGUUGGCUGUUCAGAAAUGGGCACAAGCUAUUUAAUGCAUGCUUGGUUGCCACAGUAAGGAGUUGUAUUACCAUGAGGAACUUGCAGCUUGUGAAGCUGGAGAUAAUCUCCGGAGGACCGGAGGAAGGAAAAGGGAAAUGAAAAAAAAAUGAAAAAAUGAAAAGAAAAAAAAACAGAAAAAAAAGGAGGGAAGAAUAGUAGAGAGAUGAGAAGAGGUUACAACAGAAAGGUUGAUUGAAAUAGGGAAAAGUAAAAAGAAAGGAGAGGGAAAAUAUAUCAGAGGUUGAGAAGUUUGGCUUGAACAUGUUUAGUUAGCUCAUGCCAAAGUGGUUCCUGUCCUGGAGGGAGACUUACCAACAACCCCGAGGACCAAAGGACAAUGAAGAAAAUUUAGUAGGGGAAGUGGAGCAGUUGAUUGUUAGUGGAAGUGAGGAAAUCAUCAUCAAAGUCGAGUAACUUUUUUUGGGUGCAGAAGAAGAGCAGCAGCCAUUUAUGGGGGGUCAAGCAGAAAGUUAUGGGAGAGCUGUUGGAGCACUGAUCUGUUUGUCAUAUACCAAGUUUGUGGAAUCUUGUUUUUAAGCAAAAUAAUCAAUAAAUAAGUUGUAUCCAUUUAUAAAAUAUAAACCAAUUUUGUUUUUUUAA